CCGGACUUGUUGUCGAAGACGACGAAGGCGAAGGAGCCGGAGAGAUCCUUGACGACCUGGUCGGCGGGGUAGGGGCCGCGGUCGCGGAGGGUGCGGUAGGCCUCGAUGACGAGCAGCGCCUCGUUGGUGGAGCGGCUGCACAGCCCGUACUGCCGGAUCAGGCUGCUCAGGUUGUCCAGCCUCCCCAUGAACACGCAGUAGAUGUCAUCCAGCCCACAGAACAUCCUGUGUACACACCCAUUUACCAUUAUUAUCGAUCCCCUACGUUUUAAUCACCUUAAUUAUUCGGAUUCAUUGCCUCAUCGAUUAAAUUGAUUUAAUUUACCUCUCGUAGCCAGAGAGGCCAUUGCGGGCGUGGCCGGCGACGCAGGCGAGGGCGGCGCCGCCGCCGAAGGAGGUGGAGAAGGCCUCGAUGGGGUGGAGGGCGUGGAAGUCCCUGAGGAUCUCGUCGGGGUUCUUGGGCUUCGCCGCGCUGCUCCGCGGGCUGUUCAGCUCCGCCGGCGCGUGCGCCACCUGCUUCUGGAAUAUGGCCAACAUUUUCUUCUUCCUCUUGCU
rnacentral:lncRNA from 1 species